rnacentral:rRNA from 1 species
GUCUAUGGCCAUGCCACCCUGAACAAGCCCAAUCCCGUCUGAUUUCGGAAGCUAAGCAGGGUCGGGCCUGGUUAGUACUUGGAUGGGAGACCACCUAGGAAGACCAGGUGCUAUAGGCA